rnacentral:rRNA from 1 species
GACGGAGGGGGCUAGCGUUGUUCGGAAUGACUGGGCGUAAAGGGCGCGUAGGCGGUUACUUAAGUGAGGCGUGAAAGCCCAGGGCUUAACCCUGGAAUUGCGUUUCAUACUGGGUGACUUGAGUACGAGAGAGGAAAGUGGAAUUCCUAGUGUAGAGGUGAAAUUCGUAGAUAUUAGGAAGAACACCAGAGGCGAAGGCGGCUUUCUGGCUCGUAACUGACGCUGAGGCGCGAAAGCGUGGGGAGCAAACAGG